rnacentral:sRNA from 1 species
UAACACACCUCGCACCGGAGACCAGCUCGGCCACGCCGUAAAACACCCCAAUUUUACCAAGGUUGACCUCGGAUCAGGUAGGAAUACCCGCUGAACUUAAGCAUAUCAAUAAGCGGAGGAAAAGAAACCAACAGGGAUUGCCUCAGUAACGGCGAGUGAAGCGGCAACAGCUCAAAUUUGAAAUCUGGCCGCAAGGUCCGAGUUGUAAUUUGCAGAGGAUGCUUUUGGUGAGGUGCUUUCCGAGUUCCCUGGAACGGGACGCCAUAGAGGGUGAGAGCCCCGUACGGUUACGCACCGAGCCUCUGUAAAGCUCCUUCGACGAGUCGAGUAGUUUGGGAAUGCUGCUCUAAAUGGGAGGUGUACGUCUUCUAAAGCUAAAUACCGGCCAGAGACCGAUAGCGCACAAGUAGAGUGAUCGAAAGAUGAAAAGCACUUUGAAAAGAGGGUUAAAAAGUACGUGAAAUUGUUGAAAGGGAAGCAUUUAUGACCAGACUUGGGCAUGGUUGAACAUCCGGCGUUCUCGCCGGUGCACUCUGCCAGCCCAGGCCAGCAUCAGUUUGCCCCGGGGGAUAAAGGCGGCGGGAAUGUAGCUCUCUCCGGGGAGUGUUAUAGCCCGUCGUGCAAUGCCCUGGGGCGGACUGAGGAACGCGCUCGGCACG